GAACGCUGUGAUUAGCCUAACACAUGCAAGUUAAAAUUUUUUAGCGAACGGGUGAGUACAACAUAAAAAUUAACCUAAAUAUUUAGAAGAGUUUAUGUAGAAUUAGGUUGUUGGUAUAUUAAUAGUUUUACCAAGCUUAUGAUUCUUAGCUGUCUUUGAGGAUGAACAGCCACAUUGGAACUGAGACACGGUCCAAACUCUUAUAAGAGGCAGCAGUGGGGAAUUUUAGGCAAUGGGCGAAAGCUUGACCUAGCUAAAUCACGUGUGUGAUGAAGAUUAUUAGUAUUGUAAAGCACUUUAUUGGUUGUUUAAUAAUGAUAAAAACCAAAACAAACCCUGGCUAAUUUCGUGCCAGCAGCCGCGGUAAA
rnacentral:rRNA from 1 species